AUGGCUCAGGAUGAACGCUGGCGGCGUGCUUAACACAUGCAAGUCGAACGAGGGUUACCGGUUGAAAUUUCGAAUGGAAACGGGUAAUUCCUAGUGGCGGACGGGUGAGUAACGCGUGGGGAACCUGCCCCAUUCCGGGGGAUACCAGUUGGAAACGACUGUUAAUACCGCAUAAGCGCACAGUACUGCAUGGUACGGUGUGAAAAAACCACGGUGGAAUGGGAUGGCCCCGCGUCUGAUUAGCCAGUUGGCAGGGUAACGGCCUACCAAAGCGACGAUCAGUAGCCGGCCUGAGAGGGCGACCGGCCACAUUGGGACUGAGACACGGCCCAAACUCCUACGGGAGGCAGCAGUGGGGAAUAUUGCACAAUGGGGGGAACCCUGAUGCAGCCGACGCCGCGUGAGUGAAGAAGUAUUUCGGUAUGUAAAGCUCUAUCAGCAGGGAAGAAGAUGACGGUACCUGCACAAGAAGCCCCGGCUAACUACGUGCCAGCAGCCGC
rnacentral:rRNA from 1 species